rnacentral:lncRNA from 1 species
GGUGGCCGCCGCCUCGCUCCGCCCCGGGGAACUGAGCGCGCGGCCAGCCAGCCUGCCAGAGAGACGCCAGCCGCCGGCGGCGCUAGCACCUCGGAGGAGGGUGGCCGAAGCGAGUGGAGCGCAGCGCUGGGAGCCGGACUGGGGGUGGGGAAACCAGCCCGGUCCAGGCGAGGGCCACCCCCGGUCCUCUGCCCUCGCACCCCGCCAGGGCCAGUUCUCUCCCCAUCCUUUAAACUCCUGAGCUUGGAGAAAGUGAACUCUAAAAACCAGUCUUUCUCUAUGUGAAUGCCAAACCUUGUGGAGAAUUUGUGUGGUGGAGUUUCUCUCAUCUCAGGGACUAUGGGUUCUGGACUACUUCCUAUAUCAUCAUGG